rnacentral:rRNA from 1 species
GAUGAACGCUGGCGGCGUGCUUAACACAUGCAAGUCGAACGGAAAGGCCCUUGCUUGCAGGGGUACUCGAGUGGCGAACGGGUGAGUAACACGUGGGUGAUCUGCCCUGCACUUCGGGAUAAGCCUGGGAAACUGGGUCUAAUACCGGAUGGGACCAUCGUUUAGUGUCGGUGGUGGAAAGUUUUUUCGGUGUGGGAUGAGCUCGCGGCCUAUCAGCUUGUUGGUGGGGUAAUGGCCUACCAAGGCGUCGACGGGUAGCCGGCCUGAGAGGGUGUACGGCCACAUUGGGACUGAGAUACGGCCCAGACUCCUACGGGAGGCAGCAGUGGGGAAUAUUGCACAAUGGGCGCAAGCCUGAUGCAGCGACGCCGCGUGGGGGAUGACGGCCUUCGGGUUGUAAACUCCUUUCGUCAGGGACGAAGCGAAAGUGACGGUACCUGGAUAAGAAGCACCGGCUAACUACGUG